UACGUAGGGAGCAAGCGUUGUCCGGAAUCAUUGGGCGUAAAGCGCGUGUAGGCGGUUCCGUAAGUCCGCUCUGAAAGCCCAGGGCUCAACCCUGGGAGGCGGGUGGAUACUACGGAACUGGAGUACGGAAGAGGAGAUUGGAAUUCCUGGUGUAGCGGUGAAAUGCGCAGAUAUCAGGAGGAACACCAACAGCGAAGGCAGAUCUCUGGGACGUUACUGACGCUGAGACGCGAAAGCGUGGGGAGCAAACAGG
rnacentral:rRNA from 1 species